CCCCCUCUCUCUUGUUUAAUAUUUCAAACUUCAAAUUAUACACUUACAUUUCCAAUUAUAUCUCCUAUGACCAUUUAAGUACAGCUUAGUUCUAACUUUGAGACUUGAGAUCCAUCACUGUUGUAACACUCGGCCCAUUGGGCCUUAAACCCAGAAGCCCAAAAAAAAAAAGAAAAUUGAAGAAAACACCCUGCGAGAGUCUUCUUCCACCAUCGACGGCUCC
rnacentral:lncRNA from 1 species